AUUGAACGCUGGCGGCAUGCCUUACACAUGCAAGUCGAACCGCAGCACGGGAGCUUGCUCCUGGUGGCGAGUGGCGAACGGGUGAGUAAAGCAUCGGAACGUGCCCUGAAGUGGGGGAUAACACAGCGAAAGUUACGCUAAUACCGCAUAUUCUGUGAGCAGGAAAGCAGGGGAUCGCAAGACCUUGUGCUUUAGGAGCGGCCGAUGUCGGAUUAGCUAGUUGGUGAGGUAAAGGCUCACCAAGGCGACGAUCCGUAGCGGGUCUGAGAGGAUGAUCCGCCACACUGGGGCUGAGACACGGCCCAGACUCCUACGGGAGGCAGCAGUGGGGAAUUUUGGACAAUGGGCGCAAGCCUGAUCCAGCCAUGCCGCGUGAGUGAAGAAGGCCUUCGGGUUGUAAAGCUCUUUCGGCGGGGAAGAAAUGGUAACGGCUAAUACCUGUUGCUGAUGACGGUACCCGCAUAAGAAGCACCGGCUAACUUCGUGCCAGCCGCCGCGGUAA
rnacentral:rRNA from 1 species